UACGUAGGGUGCGAGCGUUUAAUCGGAAUUACUGGGCGUAAAGUGUGCGCAGGCGGCAAAGCAAGUCGAGUGUGAAAGCCCCGGGCUUAACUUGGGAAUUGCGCUCGAAACUACUUUGCUGGAGUGUGGCAGAGGAAGGUGGAAUUCCACGUGUAGCGGUGAAAUGACGUAGAGAUGUGGAGGAACACCAAUGGCGAAGGCAGCCUUCUGGGCCAACACG
rnacentral:rRNA from 1 species